rnacentral:lncRNA from 1 species
ACAGAAGUUUACAACGCCUGGUAGAGCAAGAGGCUCUCAUGAAAUUAUACGGACUGUGGUCGGUUGAAUAACGGCCCCCAAAGAUAUCCGUGCCCUAGUCGCUGAAACCUGUGAAUAUUUUACACAGCCAAAGGGACUUUGCAGAUACGAUUAAAGCUUUUUUUUUUUUUUUUUUUUUUUUUUUUGAGAUGGACUCUCUCUCUGUCGCCUAGGCUGGAGUGCAGUGGCCUGAUCUCGGCUCACUGCAACCUCAGUCUCCUG